rnacentral:rRNA from 1 species
GACGAGCGCUGGCGGCGUGCCUAAUACAUGCAAGUUGAGCGCUGAAGGUUGGUACUUGUACCAACUGGAUGAGCAGCGAACGGGUGAGUAACGCGUGGGGAAUCUGCCUUUGAGCGGGGGACAACAUUUGGAAACGAAUGCUAAUACCGCAUAAAAACUUUAAACACAAGUUUUAAGUUUGAAAGAUGCAAUUGCACCACUCAAAGAUGAUCCCGCGUUGUAUUAGCUAGUUGGUGAGGUAAAGGCUCACCAAGGCGAUGAUACAUAGCCGACCUGAGAGGGUGAUCGGCCACAUUGGGACUGAGACACGGCCCAAACUCCUACGGGAGGCAGCAGUAGGGAAUCUUCGGCAAUGGACGAAAGUCUGACCGAGCAACGCCGCGUGAGUGAAGAAGGUUUUCGGAUCGUAAAACUCUGUUGGUAGAGAAGAACGUUGGUGAGAGUGGAAAGCUCAUCAAGUGACGGUAACUACCCAGAAAGGGACGGCUAACUACGUG